AAAAAAUUCAAAUCUCUCUCGACACUCUCUGAGUUUUUUCUUCACAUCUUCUUCACCAAUCUUCCACCUUCGAGCCCCUGUAUAUUCUCCAUUGAUUACGCACUUCAACCUUCAUCUUCUUCGAAUCUUCAAUUAAUUGCAACCUUAACUGAAUCUCCAUCUGAUUUAUCUCUGACCCUCAUGCAACCACUUCACACACAUCAUCUUCGUCGUUUUGCAUCAAAACAUGUAGCCACAAUAAUAACGCCUAUGAAUUGCAAGACGUCAGUAUUCACACCAACAUACGCAAGAAAAAUUAGAAGAAGAAGAC